rnacentral:sRNA from 1 species
GGAGCGCAGCCCGCCCUCAGCUCCAGCCACGUCCCGAGUGAGGCGCUGUGGUCCACCGGCUGCAAGCAGUUACUGGCAGGCUGGGUUCGGACUG